rnacentral:sRNA from 1 species
UACAGAUUGUUGCACGUGAUCUCUUGACU